AGCCGACUACGAUCCUACAGACCAAAUAAACAAGCCAAAUAUCUCUUAAGAAUAGCUCCCAUGCCAUUAGAUUCUUCCAACUCCAACCAUGUAAUGUACUCUAAAUGAUUUAUAUUUGUUGCAUUGUGCCAACAUAUUCCCACGAGAAAGGGCAUCAUUUUUAAUCAAUGACAAGCACUAGUGUGAUUAUUUUACCAUGACCAUGAUUUUUUCCCUUUUUAUGAUUUUUCACAUAAAAUUUAUAGUCUCUUAUGACUCUUACACCUCUCUCUCUCUUAUCUGUAUAUAUGUUGCAUCUUCGUUCAAAGCUAAGACGUUAAAUUUUUUUAUCUCUCUAUAGCUACGAAUGUUCUAGCACGGAACCAUUCUUAUUCCUUGAAAAUAGUUCAUAUCUACUUGCACAUUUGCAAGUUUGAUAUGGUCAAUGAACCAUGGGAAGAUGUAUUUAAAAAAAAAAAAAAAAGUCUUGACUUAUGUGAUCCUCUAUAUCUUCAAAAUCAUCACAUUUUUUAGAGAAAUCCUUGCAGAAAGCUUCAUAUGCUAAUGCCAACAAUCUCGAAUAUAAAUCUUUACCACUAAGUUUAUACAGUAUAAAAGACCUCCAUACAUCAUAUUUAGAAAAUUUAAGGAUUUCAACAACACAGCCAUCCAAAUUCAUCUUUCAAAAAAGCAAACAAACUUCUUCUCAGAGUGAAAAUUGAAGCACCACCAACCAUGGUAGUAAUUCUAAUAUUAUGUGAAGAAAGUAGAAAGGAGAAAGGAGAAAAGAAGAGAUAUUUGCCAAACUUAUUAGAUCAUCAACAUUGUUUAAGUAAUCGAUUUUCCAAGCCCAAACCUCUUCCGACCAAGAAUUAACACUAACCCAAGAUCUACUCCCAAAAUUUGAAGAAGGGUGCAUCAAAAAAAAAAAAAAUACGCCAAGUUUCACUAAGAAUGUGAAGGAAUAGUAGUAGACUCACUUGACAUAACAUAUGCUAACAUGAAGUAGAUGAAAAGAAACUUAAGCUAGCCCUAAUCAAUGAUAA